CCAGUUUUUAUGAGGACCCCGCUUUCCAAAAAUGUACAGGUACUAGAAAAGAAAUUAUGUGUAUUAUUGUUCAACAACAAGGUUAUCAAGUCAUUCAAUAUUUGAUCUAAGAGCAUUAAGAGUGAAAUUGUGAAAUGGAAAGAAGUGAAAUUCCAGGAUUAUUAAUAGGAAUAGAUGACAGUAGUGGGUAUGCAUGCAGACACUAUCUACUUACCCCAGUAUUACACCCAGGUAAUGAUCAAGAAAAUAAGAUAUUUUUACCAUAGUACUCAUGUGAGAACAAGAAAUGUAGAAAAGCUAUUUGGAACCUGGAAAAGAGAGUUUCCUUGUCUUCAACAAGGUCUACAAACCAAAUUAUAUACAUGUCUUGCAAUAAUAUGUGCUACAGCAGUACCUUACAAUCUAGGUAAAUAAUGAUCUGGUGGUAAAUAGACAUGUUAAUGAUGUGGAACAAUCUCUAAAUUUUUGGUGACAUUUUUUUCAACAAUAUUUUGCAUGAGAAUACAUUAUUGAAUACCUACUCUUAUUGUGUUUGAUUUUUUUGUCUAUUAUUUCUCAAAAUAUCAUGAUCAUUGUUCGACAGCCCUUUUUGUUUGAGUUUUGGUCUCUUGAGGAAUACAGCUCCAUUCCAAUCUAUUUCAGGAUUUGUUCUUGCAAUUUUUUAUUUUUAAAAUAUCAAUGUCUUAUUCUGUUUGUUCCUUAUAUCUAAUCUAUAGUCUUUCUCUCGUUAUAUGUCCAGCUGACAUUUGUGUGUUUAUUUUGGAAAGUAUUUCAUAUGCUUCCAUCCUUCCUCUUAGAACGUGGUCCUAUUUUGAUGAAUGCAUAUGGAUCGUGGUAUGCCCUGUAUAGUUCAAAAUUAUAUUUCAUAUGCUUCUAUCCUUCCUCUUAGAACGUGGUCCUAUUUUGAUGAAUGUAUAUGGAUCGUGGUAUGCCCUGUAUAGUUCAAAAUUAUAUUUCAUAUGCUUCCAUCUUUCCUCUUAGAACGUGGUCCUAUUUUGAUGAAUGUAUAUGGAUCGUGGUAUGCCCUGUAUAGUUCAAAAUUAUAUCUUCUCUGGUCUUCAUAUUUUAGAUGCUAUUUAGCCUGAUUCUAGUGCUUUAUCGUUGUUUCCAGUACUUUAUCAAUUUAUCAUCAUUUAUUUUACCUACCUGUCUACUGCUACUCUACUAUUGUACUUUCACCAUAUAUUUUUGGAAUAUAAAUAUACCUUCUGUCUUUCUCUUGUUCAACUGGAAUUUGUUUAUUUAUUCUGAGAAUACAUUAUUGAAUCUGUAUUAUGUUAGAUAUAUUAUUUUUUAUUUUAUUUCUUAAUAUGUAUUUUUUAUAUUUUAUUUUAAAAUAAAUGAGUAUGAGUUUCCCUCUUCUUAAAUAA